rnacentral:rRNA from 2 species
UUCUAACGUGGAUCCGUAAUCCGGGUUGCGGACAGUGUCUGGUGGGUAGUUUGACUGGGGCGGUCUCCUCCUAAAGAGUAACGGAGGAGCACGAAGGUUGGCUAAUCCUGGUCGGACAUCAGGAGGUUAGUGCAAUGGCAUAAGCCAGCUUGACUGCGAGCGUGACGGCGCGAGCAGGUGCGAAAGCAGGUCAUAGUGAUCCGGUGGUUCUGAAUGGAAGGGCCAUCGCUCAACGGAUAAAAGGUACUCCGGGGAUAACAGGCUGAUACCGCCCAAGAGUUCAUAUCGACGGCGGUGUUUGGCACCUCGAUGUCGGCUCAUCACAUCCUGGGGCUGAAGUAGGUCCCAAGGGUAUGGCUGUUCGCCAUUUAAAGUGGUACGCGAGCUGGGUUUAGAACGUCGUGAGACAGUUCGGUCCCUAUCUGCCGUGGGCGCUGGAGAACUGAGGGGGGCUGCUCCUAGUACGAGAGGACCGGAGUGGACGCAUCACUGGUGUUCGGGUUGUCAUGCCAAUGGCACUGCCCGGUAGCUAAAUGCGGAAGAGAUAAGUGCUGAAAGCAUCUAAGCACGAAACUUGCCCCGA